CCCUUAGAUGUUCUGGGCCGCACGCGCGCUACACUGAUGCAUUCAACGAGUCUAAAACCUGGUCUGAUAGGGCUGGGUAAUCUUUUGAAAGUGCAUCGUGAUUGGGAUAGAUGAUUGCAAUUCUUCAUCUUCAACGAGGAAUGCCUAGUAAACGCAAGUCAUCAGCUUGCGUUGAUUACGUCCCUGCCCUUUGUACACACCGCCCGUCGCUACUACUGAUUGGAUGUUUAAGCGAGGUUCUCGAACUGCUAGCGACUUAGCUUCGGUGAGGUCGCAGUGUGGGAAGUGAACCUAGCUUUGGUGUCUAGAGGAAGUAAAAGUCGUAACA
rnacentral:rRNA from 1 species